rnacentral:misc_RNA from 1 species
GACGUAGGUGGCAAACGUUAUCCGGAAUCACUGGGCGUAAAGGGUCCGCAGGCGGUUCAACAAGUCGGACGUGAAAGCUCGCGGCUCAACUGCGAGAAGCCGUUCGAAACUGUUGAACUUGAAUCCGGCAGAGGUCGAUGGAAUUCCCGGUGUAGUGGUGGAAUGCGUAGAGAUCGGGAGGAACACCAAGAGCGAAGGCAGUCGGCUGGGCUGAGAUUGACGCUGAGGGACGAAGGCGUGGGGAGCGAACAGG